UACGAAGGGGGCUAGCGUUGCUCGGAAUCACUGGGCGUAAAGCGCACGUAGGCGGCUUUUUAAGUCAGGGGUGAAAUCCUGGAGCUCAACUCCAGAACUGCCUUUGAUACUGAGAAGCUUGAGUCCGGGAGAGGUGAGUGGAACUGCGAGUGUAGAGGUGAAAUUCGUAGAUAUUCGCAAGAACACCAGUGGCGAAGGCGGCUAUCUGGACCGUAACUGACGCUGAGGCGCGAAAGCGUGGGGAGCAAACAGG
rnacentral:rRNA from 1 species